rnacentral:rRNA from 1 species
UCAGUUCGGAUCGAAGUCUGCAACCCGACUUCGUGAAGCUGGAUUCGCUAGUAAUCGCGCAUCAGCCAUGGCGCGGUGAAUACGUUCCCGGGCCUUGUACACACCGCCCGUCAAGCCAUGAAAGCCGGGGGUACCUGAAGUACGUAACCGCAAGGAGCGUCCUAGGGUAAAACUGGUAAUUGGGGCUAAGUCGUAACAAGGUACC